GACGAGCGCUGGCGGCGUGCCUAAUACAUGCAAGUCGAACGAAGCUGUUUUAACUGGUGCUUGCACCGACUUAAACAACUGAGUGGCGAACGGGUGAGUAACACGUGGGUAACCUGCCCCAAAGCGGGGGAUAACAUUUGGAAACAGAUGCUAAUACCGCAUAAUCACAGAAACCACAUGGUUUCUGUGUCAAAGAUGGUUUCGGCUAUCACUUUGGGAUGGACCCGCGGCGUAUUAGCUAGUUGGUAAGGUAAUGGUUUACCAAGGCAAUGAUACGUAGCCGAACUGAGAGGUUGAUCGGCCACAUUGGGACUGAGACACGGCCCAAACUCCUACGGGAGGCAGCAGUAGGGAAUCUUCAACAAUGGACGAAAGUCUGAUGGAGCAACGCCGCGUGAGUGAAGAAGGUUUUCGGAUCGUAAAACUCUGUUGUCAGAGAAGAACGUGUGCGAGAGUAACUGUUCGUGCAGUGACGGUAUCUGGCCAGAAAGCCACGGCUAACUACGUGCCAGCCGCCGCAGUAA
rnacentral:rRNA from 1 species